rnacentral:tRNA from 1 species
GGGCUUAGGUUAAAACAAACCAGGGGCCUUCAAAGCCCCAAAUAAGAGCCCACACUUAGCCCCUG